rnacentral:rRNA from 1 species
UACGAAGGGGGCUAGCGUUGUUCGGAAUUACUGGGCGUAAAGCGCACGUAGGCGGAUCGAUCAGUCAGGGGGUGAAAUCCCAGAGCUCAACUCUGGAACUGCCUUUGAUACUGUCGAUCUGGAGUAUGGAAGAGGUGAGUGGAAUUCCGAGUGUAGAGGUGAAAUUCGUAGAUAUUCGGAGGAACACCAGUGGCGAAGGCGGCUCACUGGUCCAUUACUGACGCUGAGGUGCGAAAGCGUGGGGAGCAAACAGG